CAGGUGACCAACGGAAGCCAAUCCAUAAGUUAUAGUAAUCAGUGCACAGGUAAAUAAAUCUAAAGAUACCCAAGACGCCAAUUAUUCUUUUAGAUUCUUCUGGCAUUUUAUUUUUCAAUAUAAUGUUGUUCACCUCAUGGUUUUAGAUGUGAAUGAAUGCCUUGAGACCCCAUCGGUCUGUGGUUCAAACUCAGUCUGCAACAACACCAUUGGAGACUACAACUGUACAUGCUGGAGUGGAUAUAAUGUCACUGAUCCAAGUUUGAAGAGUAGUGCUAACAAUACUUGUACAGAUAUAAACGAAUGUGUUGAGAUAUCAAACGUGUGUGGAUUCAACUCCAACUGCACCAAUUACAAUGGAAGCUACAACUGUUCCUGCCUGAGUGGAUAUCAAGUGACCAGAGCAAACCAAUCCAUAAGUCUUAGCAAUCAGUGCACAGGUAAAUGAAAACAUAAUGCUUUAGGUGUCUAUCUUUCAAAAUUUUACCGGACCUUUUUUUCCAGUAAAACAUUUUUUAACUCAUGGUUUUAGAUGUGAAUGAAUGCCUUGAGACCCCAUCGGUCUGUGGUCCAAACUCAGUCUGCAACAACACCAUUGGAGACUACAACUGUACAUGCUGGAGUGGAUAUAAUGUCACUGAUCCAAGUUUGAAGAGUAGUGCUAACAAUACUUGUACAGGUAAGGUUGUUUUUACAAAGCAUUGAAAGCACCUUGGCACAUCGGAAACACAUUUUUCUGCUUGAGUAAGCAUUUUUUUUCACUGUACCCUUUUUCAGAUAUAAACGAAUGUGUUGAGAUAUCAAACGUGUGUGGAUUCAACUCCAACUGCACCAAUUACAAUGGAAGCUACAACUGUUCCUGCCUGAGUGGAUAUCAAGUGACCAGAGCAAACCAAUCCAUAAGUCUUAGCAAUCAGUGCACAGGUAAAUGAAAACAUAAAUGCUUUAGGUGUCUAUCUUUCAAAAUUUUACCAGACCUUUUUUUCAGUACAACAUUUUUUAACUCAUGGUUUUAGAUGUGAAUGAAUGCCUUGAGACCCCAUCGGUCUGUGGUCCAAACUCAGUCUGCAACAACACCAUUGGAGACUACAACUGUACAUGCUGGAGUGGAUAUAAUGUCACUGAUCCAAGUUUGAAGAGUAGUGCUAACAAUACUUGUACAGGUAAGGUUGUUUUUACAAAGCAUUGAAAGCACCUUGGCACAUCGGAACACAUUUUUCUGCUUGAGUAAGCAUUUUCUUUUCACGGUACCCUUUUUCAGAUAUAAACGAAUGUGUUGAGAUAUCAAACGUGUGUGGAUUCAACUCCAACUGCACCAAUUACAAUGGAAGCUACAACUGUUCCUGCCUGAGUGGAUAUCAAGUGACCAGAGCAAACCAAUCCAUAAGUCUUAGCAAUCAGUGCACAGGUAAAUGAAAACAUAAAUGCUUUAGGUGUCUAUCUUUCAA
rnacentral:lncRNA from 1 species